rnacentral:tRNA from 2 species
GGUAAAGUGGCCGAGCAGGCGGCGGAUUGUAGUCCCGAACACAGAGGUUUAAGUCCUCUCUUUACCA